AGAUUGAACGCUGGCGGCAUGCCUUACACAUGCAAGUCGAACGGCAGCACGGGAGCAAUCCUGGUGGCGAGUGGCGAACGGGUGAGUAAUACAUCGGAACGUGCCCAAUCGUGGGGGAUAACGCAGCGAAAGCUGUGCUAAUACCGCAUAAGAUCUACGGAUGAAAGCAGGGGAUCGCAAGACCUUGCGCGAAUGGAGCGGCCGAUGGCAGAUUAGGUAGUUGGUGAGGUAAAGGCUCACCAAGCCUUCGAUCUGUAGCUGGUCUGAGACGGACGACCAGCCACACUGGGACUGAGACACGGCCCAGACUCCGUACGGGAGGCAGGC
rnacentral:rRNA from 1 species